CCACAUUGGACGCAAGUCUGAUGGAGCACGCCGCGUGAGUGAAGAAGGCUUUCGGGUCGUAAAACUCUGUUGUUGGAGAAGAAUGGUCGGCAGAGUAACUGUUGUCGGCGUGACGGUAUCCAACCAGAAAGCCACGGCUAACUACGUGCCAGCAGCCGCGGUAAUACGUAGGUGACAAGCGUUAUCCGGAUUUAUUGGGCGUAAAGCGAGCGCAGGCGGUUUUUUAAGUCUGAUGUGAAAGCCCUCGGCUUAGCCGAGGAAGUGCAUCGGAAACUGGGAAACUUGAGCGCAGAAGAGGACAGUGGAACUCCAUGUGUAGCGGUGAAAUGCGUAGAUAUAUGGAAGAACACCAGUGGCGAAGGCGGCUGUCUGGUCUGUAACUGACGCUGAGGCUCGAAAGCAUGGGUAGCGAACAGGAUUAGAUACCCUGGUAGUCCAUGCCGUAAACGAUGAAUGCUAGGUGUUGGAGGGUUUCCGCCCUUCAGUGCCGCAGCUAACGCAUUAAGCAUUCCGCCUGGGGAGUACGACCGCAAGGUUGAAACUCAAAGGAAUUGACGGGGGCCCGCACAAGCGGUGGAGCAUGUGGUUUAAUUCGAAGCAAGCGAAGAACCUUACCAGGUCUUGACAUCUUUUGAUCACCUGAGAGAUCAGGU
rnacentral:rRNA from 2 species